GAUGAACGCUGGCGGCGUGCCUAAUACAUGCAAGUCGAGCGAACGGACGAGAAGCUUGCUUUUCUGAUGUUAGCGGCGGACGGGUGAGUAACACGUGGAUAACCUACCUAUAAGACUGGGAUAACUUCGGGAAACCGGAGCUAAUACCGGAUAAUAUUUUGAACCGCAUGGUUCAAAAGUGAAAGACGGUCUUGCUGUCACUUAUAGAUGGAUCCGCGCUGCAUUAGCUAGUUGGUAAGGUAACGGCUUACCAAGGCAACGAUGCAUAGCCGACCUGAGAGGGUGAUCGGCCACACUGGAACUGAGACACGGUCCAGACUCCUACGGGAGGCAGCAGUAGGGAAUCUUCCGAAAUGGGCGAAAGCAUGACGGAGCAACGCCGCGUGAGUGAUGAAGGUCUUCGGAUCGUAAAACUCUGUUAUUAGGGAAGAACAUAUGUGUAAGUAACUGUGCACAUCUUGACGGUACCUAAUCAGAAAGCCACGGCUAACUACGUG
rnacentral:rRNA from 1 species